UACGUAGGGUGCAAGCGUUAAUCGGAAUUACUGGGCGUAAAGCGUGCGCAGGCGGCUUUGCAAGACAGAUGUGAAAUCCCCGGGCUUAACCUGGGAACUGCAUUUGUGACUGCAUGGCUAGAGUGCGGCAGAGGGGGAUGGAAUUCCGCGUGUAGCAGUGAAAUGCGUAGAUAUGCGGAGGAACACCGAUGGCGAAGGCAGCUUACUACACAGUUAUUGACGCUGAGGCACGAAAGCGUGGGGAUCAAACAGG
rnacentral:rRNA from 1 species